UACGGAGGGAGCUAGCGUUGUUCGGAAUUACUGGGCGUAAAGCGCACGUAGGCGGAUUUGUAAGUCAGGGGUGAAAUCCCGGGGCUCAACCUCGGAACUGCCUUUGAUACUGCAAGUCUUGAGUCCGGAAGAGGUGAGUGGAAUUCCUAGUGUAGAGGUGAAAAUUCGUAGAUAUUAGGAAGAACACCAGUGGCGAAGGCGGCUCACUGGUCCGGUACUGACGCUGAGGUGCGAAAGCGUGGGGAGCAACAGGG
rnacentral:rRNA from 1 species